rnacentral:rRNA from 1 species
GACGAGCGCUGGCGGCGUGCUUAACACAUGCAAGUCGAACGGAAAGGCCCUGCUUUUGUGGGGUGCUCGAGUGGCGAACGGGUGAGUAACACGUGAGUAACCUGCCCUUGACUUUGGGAUAACUUCAGGAAACUGGGGCUACUACCGGAUAGGAGCUCCUGCUGCAUGGUGGGGGUUGGAAAGUUUCGGCGGUUGGGGAUGGACUCGCGGCUUAUCAGCUUGUUGGUGGGGUAGUGGCUUACCAAGGCUUUGACGGGUAGCCGGCCUGGGAGGGUGACCGGCCACAUUGGGACUGAGAUACGGCCCAGACUCCUACGGGAGGCAGCAGUGGGGAAUAUUGCACAAUGGGCGGAAGCCUGAUGCAGCAACGCCGCGUGCGGGAUGACGGCCUUCGGGUUGUAAACCGCUUUCGCCUGUGACGAAGCGUGAGUGACGGUAAUGGGUAAAGAAGCACCGGCUAACUACGUG